GUUCCAAUACAAGGAACCCUUGAUAUUUCCCCUCUCUCUUUCACUGCAAAAGAGUUUGAAAAAAUGCCCAAAGCCACAUGCCGUUCCUGUGUGGUAACCAUGCCUGUUCAGUAGCUGUGUCUUCAUGCAGCCUCUUGUGAAGCUGGAAAAGUCUCUUAUUAAAAACAUCAGUUACACUACAGUGACCACACACACACACACAUACACACACACACACGUUUCCAUAGAGAGAGGUUCCACUUUGCAUUAGCAGCUCAUGCUUCAGCGCUCUGCGAGUGUUUAUAGCCCUGUGACUUUAACACUUCAUGACUGAGAGCUGCUGCUCAGCGACUUCACCCACAGCAACCAUGAGUUUGAUCAGCGUCUUCAUCUGCACACUGGCCCUCUGCGCUCGAGGAUCCAGAGGUCAGGUGACUGUGACUCAGAGUCCUGCAGUGAAAUCUGUUUCUCCAGGAGACACACUCACCAUCAGCUGUAAAACCAGUCCUGCUGUUUACCGCUGGAGUGGCUAUGACUAUUUGUGCUGGUAUCAGCAGAAAGCUGGAGAAGCUCCUAAACUCCUGAUCUAUGAUGCUAACAGAAGAGCAUCAGGUAUUCCAGCUCGUUUCAGUGGCAGUGGAUCUGGAUCUGAUUUCACUCUGACCAUCAGUGGAGUCCAGGCUGAAGAUGCUGGAGAUUAUUACUGUCAGAGUGCACAUAGUGGUCCAGUGUUCACACAGUGUUAGAGUGUCGUACAAAAACCUGGGUGAGUGUGACUUCUGCAGCUGGGACCUACUGCAGGUGCUGAGGGGGACGAUGUGAUACAGCACAAUGACACACACUGUGGAAGAAAACACAAACACACACACAAAUCAAAUAUUGUUCACAUGAUAUCACAUGUUUAUUUCACCUCACAUCUGCAAUUUCAUCCCAAAACAUGUUGAAAAGCACAAAAUUUUAUUAAAAUGCAACAAUCAAAUGUCUCUAUGGAAUGUAGAUACAGUGCCCCCUAUAAUCUUUGGCACAAAGGCAUUAUUUAUUUUUUAUUUGCCUCUGUACUCCAUAGUUGUACUCAAAGAAUUCACACGUGGUUAAGUUGCACAUUCUCAGAUUUUAAUAAAAAAUAUUUUUAUACCAUU